UGUGGCUGGGGGUGAAAGGCCAAUCAAACCGGGAGAUAGCUGGUUCUCCCCGAAAGCUAUUUAGGUAGCGCCUCGUGAAUUCAUCUCCGGGGGUAGAGCACUGUUUCGGCAAGGGGGUCAUCCCGACUUACCAACCCGAUGCAAACUGCGAAUACCGGAGAAUGUUAUCACGGGAGACACACGGCGGGUGCUAACGUCCGUCGUGAAGAGGGAAACAACCCAGACCGCCAGCUAAGGUCCCAAAGUCAUGGUUAAGUGGGAAACGAUGUGGGAAGGCCCAGACAGCCAGGAUGUUGGCUUAGAAGCAGCCAUCAUUUAAAGAAAGCGUAAUAGCUCACUGGUCGAGUCGGCCUGCGCGGAAGAUGUAACGGGGCUAAACCAUGCACCGAAGCUGCGGCAGCGACGCUGAUGCGUUGUUGGGUAGGGGAGCGUUCUGUAAGCCUGUGAAGGUGUGCUGUGAGGCAUGCUGGAGGUAUCAGAAGUGCGAAUGCUGACAUAAGUAACGAUAAAGCGGGUGAAAAGCCCGCUCGCCGGAAGACCAAGGGUUCCUGUCCAACGUUAAUCGGGGCAGGGUGAGUCGACCCCUAAGGCGAGGCCGAAAGGCGUAGUCGAUGGGAAACAGGUUAAUAUUCCUGUACUUGGUGUUACUGCGAAGGGGGGACGGAGAAGGCUAUGUUGGCCGGGCGACGGUUGUCCCGGUUUAAGCGUGUAGGCUGGUUUUCCAGGCAAAUCCGGAAAAUCAAGGCUGAGGCGUGAUGACGAGGCACUACGGUGCUGAAGCAACAAAUGCCCUGCUUCCAGGAAAAGCCUCUAAGCAUCAGGUAACAUCAAAUCGUACCCCAAACCGACACAGGUGGUCAGGUAGAGAAUACCAAGGCGCUUGAGAGAACUCGGGUGAAGGAACUAGGCAAAAUGGUGCCGUAACUUCGGGAGAAGGCACGCUGAUAUGUAGGUGAAGUCCCUCGCGGAUGGAGCUGAAAUCAGUCGAAGAUACCAGCUGGCUGCAACUGUUUAUUAAAAACACAGCACUGUGCAAACACGAAAGUGGACGUAUACGGUGUGACGCCUGCCCGGUGCCGGAAGGUUAAUUGAUGGGGUCAGCGCAAGCGAAGCUCUUGAUCGAAGCCCCGGUAAACGGCGGCCGUAACUAUAACGGUCCUAAGGUAGCGAAAUUCCUUGUCGGGU
rnacentral:rRNA from 1 species